rnacentral:lncRNA from 1 species
ACAGUGCUAGUCUAGAACCUGGGUUACUUCAUAAAUGGUAAUUCCUUUAUGAAGCUUUUUCUUCGAGGUAGGGUUUCACUUUAUAUCCCAGGCAUACAAAAGAAAAAAGAGGUUGUUGACAUAUAUGAUCCUAGUAUUUUUGGUGGGGUAGACUCUAGGCAGGAAGCCAGCAUUCUUCAAUCAUCUUCCUAACUGCUAAGUGAGAAAUUCCAUUGUGUAUUAUUCUUCCCCAACCAUACAACCUUAUCACUCAAAUUAUAGUUUCAGGACAUAAGUGCUCAAAAAGUAGUUUGGGGUGAAAGAGGUGUCAAAUCACUUGGUUGCCAAUGAUGCUGAGGUUUGCUUGCACUCACUAUGAUUUUUCUACAUAUUUCCACCUCCACACAUACUAUCCUUUUUAGUAGAGACGGGGUUUCACCGUGUUAGCCAGGAUGGUCUCGAUCUCCUGACUUCGUGAUCCGCCCACCUCGGCCUCCCAAAAUGCUGGGAUUACAAAUUGCAUGUAAAGUAUUACUUACUGUUAGUACAGUUAGUUAUUUCUUUUUGUUCUAUUUAAUAUUAGUUAAAAUCCCAAUAUUUGUUAAUUUUCAAGUGGGCAUGUUCUUGGAGUCACUUUGUAAGUAAUCAAUAAGGAGAUAUGACAAUCCAUUCAGACUUCUUUUCUAGUUCCUCUUAGAGCCAGUGAAGGCUUGUCAGUACAAGAAGGUUUGGGUUAGCGUAUUCAGAAUCAUAGGAAAUUAAAACCAGAAUGGCUAGCAGCUAGAGUUUGCAUAGCUGACAAAUGUGUGAAACUUUUUAUAGUUUUUAUUGAGUAUAUAUUUUUUUCACAUUUCACUAUAAAUUGGCAUAGAUAUUAAUAAGCCUCAAAGAUAUUUUAAAAUAUUUGGUCUAUUCAUUGUAUACCACAAAACUUAAGAGACAUUUGACUCCAUUAUGUAUGAUAUUUUGCUUAUUAUUUUCAAGGAGACUGCUGUAAUGCUGAAAACCUCAAGCCAUGUGUAACCCAUGGGUGGCGUGGUUAGGAGUGCUACCACUCUUUAUCCUAUUAACUCAGGCAGCCCUCAAACCAGCAAUGCCUCCGGUGAUCAAGAGCCAGCCUUUCAACAUUUUCUGGGCAGCCCCAACAAUGUAUUGUAUGCCUUCCUUCAACGUGGAUAUAAAUCUUCAAGUAUUUAACAUUAUAUCAAAUCCUUUAGAGACUCAGAGUGGGUCAAAAAUUGCCAUAUUUUAUCCAAAUGAAUUAGGGUAUUACCCUUACUUAUCUCAAGAUGGAAAAUCCUUUAAUGGAGGAAUACCGCAGAAUGUGAGCCUUUCUGAACACCUUAGGAAAACUGCUGAUGACAUUGGAGAAGGUGUCCCUUGGUGGAGAUCAGAAGAACUUGUUGUUAUUGACUGGGAAAGUUGGAAACCCCAAUGGGAUAGAAAUCAGGGCAGCAGAAUAAUAUAUAAAAACCACUCUUUAGCCUUCACUAGAAACCAUCAUCCUUAUUGGUCAGAAAUGAAAGUGGAAACAGUUGCCCGAGAGGAAUUUGAAAAUGCUGGAAAAAAUUUCAUGAACAUUACUCUCACAUUGGCUUUAGAAAUGAGACCAAAAUGUUUAUGGGGCUUUUAUCUCUAUCCAGACUGCUACAAUUAUGAUUACAGAAUAAAUCCAGAGACGUACACAGGUAAUUGUCCAAAUUGUGGCUGUGGGAAAAAAGCGCAGCACUUUAUCCUUCAAUACAUUUGGAUAAAAUA